rnacentral:rRNA from 2 species
UAACAAGGAUUCCCCUAGUAACUGCGAGUGAACCGGGAAAAGCUCAAAUUUAAAAUCUGAUAGUCUUUGGCUGUCCGAGUUGUAAUCUGGAGAAGCGUCUUCCGCGCUGGACCGUGUACAAGUCUCUUGGAACAGAGCGUCAUAGAGGGUGAGAAUCCCGUCUUUGACACGGACUACCAGUGCUUUGUGAUGCGCUCUCAAAGAGUCGAGUUGUUUGGGAAUGCAGCUCAAAAUGGGUGGUAAAUUCCAUCUAAAGCUAAAUAUUGGCGAGAGACCGAUAGCGAACAAGUACCGUGAGGGAAAGAUGAAAAGCACUUUGGAAAGAGAGUUAAACAGUACGUGAAAUUGCUGAAAGGGAAACGCUUGAAGUCAGUCGCGUUCGCUAGUACUCAGCCUGUCUUUUGAUUGGUGCAUUUACUUGUGAACGGGCCAGCAUCAGUUUUGGCUGCGGGAUAAAGAUCAGAGGAAUGUGGCACCCUCGGGUGUGUUUAUAGCCUUUGGUCAUAUACCGCGGCUGGGACUGAGGAUCUCAGCACGCCUUUAUGGCGGGGGUUCGCCCACCUUCGUGCUUAGGAUGCUGGCGUAAUGGCUUUAAACGACCCGUCUUGAAACA